AUACGUAGGCAGCAAGCGUUGUUCGGAAUUACUGGGCGUAAAGAGUGCGUAGGCGGUUGGCUAAGUUUGGUGUGAAAUCUCCCGGCUCAACUGGGAGGGUGCGCCGAAAACUGGCUGGCUAGAGUGCGGGAGAGGAUAGUGGAAUUCCUGGUGUAGCGGUGAAAUGCGUAGAUAUCAGGAGGAACACCUGAGGUGUAGACGGCUAUCUGGACCGUAACUGACGCUGAGGCACGAAAGCGUGGGGAGC
rnacentral:rRNA from 1 species